CAUCCCUUUGGCAUGCUGUCCUGGUCCUGGAGAAAGACAACAAGAGACAGAAGCUAUUUGGCUUCUUGGCUGACUCUCAAGUCUUAACUGAGGUCCAGGAAAGGUUGAGGUGUCGGUAUGGAUCCACUGUUGCCAAGGACGCAAGAACAAAACCCUUCAUUUUAAAUGCCAGUGGAAAAAUGUUCAGGAUAAAUACCAAGACACAUAAUGUGCUUUUAUUAAGGCAGCUUUUAAAAUGAGUUUUGGAAAACAGCCUUCAAGUGACUAUAAAGGUCCUCCUUGAGUGGAGGUCACUUGAGAAUUUGGCUUUGUGGACACAAACACUCCUGAACUGUUUUGGUUUUGCUGCCCUCAGGUAGGAGCCCCUGCACCUGGGCUGGACUCAAGCUCUGGGAUUACAGACAGCAAGCAAAGAAAAUGCUUAGAAGAGCAGAGAUUCAUGGUGUUCAUAGUAACUGCAGGAAGACAACAUGAGUGUAUCACAGAUGAGUCAGAAGAAAGACUGCUGGUGAAGCCUGAAGGUGAAAGACAAGGGCAGAGACUAUGAACAGAGUGAGAUGGUUGGAGCUCUGCUCCCAUCCUAGGAGAAUAAAUGGGACACCCUGGAGGUGAAACAACCCUAUUUUAUAGGUACGAGACCUACAAGUGGUAUCUCUUGUGGCAUGAACAAAUGUCUAUUUACUCCAGAUAAGGCACCAAUGACAUAUCAAAGAAACAAUUGCAUCAGUCUCUCUUGGUAAGUCGGUGAAUUUAAAUGGAAUUAUAUACAGAAGCGUAAAUAGAGGGUUACUUACAAGGGCAUAGGCAACUCAUGGGUAGCUACACCACUGAAGAAGAGCC
rnacentral:lncRNA from 1 species